rnacentral:rRNA from 1 species
UGCGUAGGCGGUUAGUUAAGUUAGAUGUGAAAGCCCCGGGCUUAACCUGGGAACUGCAUUUAAUACUGAUUGACUCGAGUUUAGUAGAGGGAAGUGGAAUUUCAGGUGUAGCAGUGAAAUGCGUAGAGAUCUGAAGGAACACCAGUGGCGAAGGCGACUUCCUGGACUAAAACUGACGCUGAGGUACGAAAGCGUGGGUAGCAAACG